rnacentral:rRNA from 1 species
GAUGAACGCUGGCGGCGUGCCUAAUACAUGCAAGUCGAGCGAACAGACGAGGAGCUUGCUCCUUCGACGUUAGCGGCGGACGGGUGAGUAACACGUAGGUAACCUACCUAUAAGACUGGGAUAACUUCGGGAAACCGGAGCUAAUACCGGAUAAUAUUUCGAACCGCAUGGUUCGAUAGUGAAAGAUGGCUUUGCUAUCACUUAUAGAUGGACCUGCGCCGUAUUAGCUAGUUGGUAAGGUAACGGCUUACCAAGGCAACGAUACGUAGCCGACCUGAGAGGGUGAUCGGCCACACUGGAACUGAGACACGGUCCAGACUCCUACGGGAGGCAGCAGUAGGGAAUCUUCCGCAAUGGGCGAAAGCCUGACGGAGCAACGCCGCGUGAGUGAUGAAGGUCCUCGGAUCGUAAAACUCUGUUAUUAGGGAAGAACAAACGUGUAAGUAACUGUGCACGUCUUGACGGUACCUAAUCAGAAAGCCACGGCUAACUACGUG